CUUAGCAGCUAGCGAGUAUCACGGACUUUGAGUGGUGUGUCAACCCUGCUUAUGCUAAGCGUAUACUGGGCUGUUAUGUUUCCUGCGAACGACGCUUGGCGCGCGGCAGUCGACUGCGGCCUAACGCCGGCGCACGAGCGGAGUGUGAAGCGAUGCAGCUCAGCGAUAACAUCGGCGGAUGGCGUGCUCGCAAUAGCGUAUGUUACGGGAGUCGUCACGAUCGAGGCCUGCACUGGACAGCACCCAGAGAGCGGCGCUGUGGCCUCCAGACCUUUGUAAAACAGGGACCAAGUAACAGAGUACAAGUGCUGGACCAAGGCACCGAGUACCGAACCCAGGUACUUUUCCAAGGACUGGAUCAUCCUCCAUCGGGGCAGAUGACCCAGGCCCUAUGACAUCUCGUCAGCUGUCCCACUACAUCCAACAAUCUUCGAAACGACAGCCUUGCUAUUUUUUAAAAAAACAUUUUCUAACUAGCAUCCAACCACGACAUUAUUUCAAUCUGAAAUCAAGAACCUCACUACGAUUAUUGAAAAUGUUUAAUUGUCACGAACUUUCUUUAAUUUGUUUGACUUGUAUAAUACAGGCCGGCCCAUUCUUGUGUUAAUGUAAUCUCAAUUCCAUGUUGUAUAUGCUUUCUGUUAAUUAACUCACAUGAUGUAGCUCUAUAUUAUGACCAAUAAUGGAAAGUUAAAUUGAAACAGAGAUACCAACGCCUGGACGAAAUCAUUGUUUUACUUUCUGGAACCAAAAAAUCCACUCUUUUCCCUCAUUUAUCAGGUGAUAGUAACGAAGCGGGACAGUUGGCUACGCCCUCUUGGAGGUGAUAAUAUUCCUUCGAAAUAAAAAUAAUUACAAUCCUGA